rnacentral:rRNA from 1 species
CAGUAGCCGCGGGAAAACGAAGGGGGCUAGCGUUGCUCGGAAUCACUGGGCGUAAAGGGUGCGUAGGCGGGUCUUUAAGUCAGGGGUGAAAUCCUGGAGCUCAACUCCAGAACUGCCUUUGAUACUGAAGAUCUUGAGUUCGGGAGAGGUGAGUGGAACUGCGAGUGUAGAGGUGAAAUUCGUAGAUAUUCGCAAGAACACCAGUGGCGAAGGCGGCUCACUAGCCCGAUACUGACGCUGAGGCACGAAAGCGUGGGAAGCAAACAGGAUUAGAUACCCCAGUAGUCCCUGUCUCUUAUAA